rnacentral:tRNA from 1 species
CGGGGUGUAGCUCAGUGGUAGAGUGCUCGUCUGGGGGGCGAGUGGUCGCUGGUUCAAAUCCAGUCACCCCGA